AACAAAGAGGCAGAAAUGUUGAGCGAGCAAGGAGAGGCAGAAAUAGAGAGAUGCACUGGGCUUCCUAAAGGUGCUUUUGCUUUUCUGUAGGGAACAGAGCAGCACCCUUUGGGCUGUUUAGAGAUUGAGGGCUGGACUGGACAGCCCCCACGGAAUCGGAAGCAUUCAGAGUAAAUUAGUAAGAGUUCACAUUGUUUUGUAAUGCUGCUAUUGUAUUCGAGAAGGGUGGAUUUUUUGUGUGCCUUCCAAAGGUGAGUGCAGAUUGCAAUAGUUGCUGCUCUGUUUUUGUUUGUCAAAUAGGGCUCUACUCCUGGGAGAGAGGCAUGUGGCAGAUCCCAGCCCAGGAUUACAUUAAUCAAAGCAUUAUUUCCCCAGGGAUGAACAGCACAAAUGAUAGUAAAUCCUAAUAAAAUUGGAUCUCUGAGAAAUUGAACGCUUAAAGUAAUCUGGUCUGCCUGAUAAAAACUUCAGAUUUAUAAGAUAUAGUGUCUCCCACCCUUAGACACCUAAGGUAUCAUCAGCGUGUGUGUAUGAAAUAAUAUUUCCGAUUCUCUACAUAAAAUCAAGCCGUGUGUAGUCUGACAAAGACUCAUCACUAUAUACCAUAUGAAAAACGAAACAUAACACCCCCUACUCUUAACACCAUCAAUAGGUUAGUAUCAUACAAAAUCGAUAUUAUAAACUCAUGUAGGCAGUGGAUUUUCUUUUAUACGCAGUGAAAAUGGGCUUCCAUAUUAGAAUCGCACGAGCUGGAUCUUAUUAGGACAAAUGUAUACUUUUCAUCUCGACACUAUGGGGAAAAAGACUUGAAUGGCUGAAGCUGAGUUUAACCAUCCUUAGAGAGGUUCAGUUACAGAGGGGAACAAUGCUGGGAUAAGCAGCCAUUGGUGGAGAGAGGGGAAUUGUUCCCGAGGCUGUUAUUUUGCCUAAAAUGUACGGCGCACUGCACUGCCAGGCCCUGCAGACUGCUCCUUCGCCUGUGUGCUGGGCUCAGCGCAGCUCGAGGGGAGCCGCUAGGGAUUCACCAUCGCUCCGAGUCUCUUCCUCUCGGCCGAAGAAAAGUUUGUCUGUCGCCGAAGCUGCUACCAUGUUCUUCAGACUUGUCCAUAUGGAUUUCAAAAGCUCUGUGUCUCCAAGUAACACUUCAGCAUCCUUUGUGAUGGGAUCCAUUGUGCGUGAGCAUCACUGUCAGUCCCUAAGACAAGAUUUAAAAAAAAAAUCAGUAUUUGAGAAGAAAUUACUAGAUAUGGGGUCUCAGUCCAGAGCUGCUCAGGAUGCAGAAAUAUUCCCUUGAAGAGAUAGGGAUGAGAUGACCAGUCUUCAGUAUUCAAAGUGAGGAUGAGCCACUGAUUUAUAUAAUGGCAUGUUAACAUUUUCCACAUUAUUCUCUAAAACUGUUCUUCCUACAACCCCCAUAAGAUUCUCUUUUUUAAUUCUUUGAAUUGCACUGCCUUUUAACAUCUGUAGUUUACUCUGAUCAGAUUUUGACAAAGGAAUAAAAGGCUCCAUUUUUUCACAUAGGAUUUUAUUUAUUGUGUGAACUGUAGAGAAGAAAUCGGUUAACUUACCAUUUAAAAUUCAUGGCAAUAUAUUUAUAGUUGGGAAAAGAUUUUAUUAUCAGCCUUUAUUUUAGUGACAUAUAUUUCCUGUACAGAUGUAAGCGAGGAUGAAAGUUGGUAUACAACAUCUCAGCUGAAGAAUGUGUUUUGUACACAUAUAUUCUGUCAUAUACAUACUCAAUUUUUUUAACUGGAUCUUAUGCAUGUAAAUUAGGACAAUCUGAGUCCCCAUAUGUGUUUACUAAUUGUUUUUUAAAGGCCAAACUACAUUCCUGUUUAAAUAUAGUCAAAACCUGAUCAAUGGAUGAACUCAUUGCAACAAUAUUUUAUUUUUUCUACCAGCUGCAUUCAUGUUCUGGGAAGUAUUCAAAUAAGAGGGCUCAUAAUUUUAAAAAUGCCUUUUCAUUUAAUGUGUAGAAAACAGUCAGUUAACUCUUCUGUAUCUGAAUCAGUUUUCCACUGAUAUAUUUUUAAGUACAUUGGAAGUUUUUUCUUUUCUGGUUUCUAGCUCCUUUUCAUGUAUUUCUGAAAAUACAUGCUUGUUUACUCGAGAGGUUCUAAAAGUAAAAGCAUCUUUCCUAGCAAGGAUAAACAUGGGUUAACAUUUCUAUACAGUCUGAGGAAGUUGUUCUGGUUUGUUGGGUAAGUAAUACACUCAUUGUUGUAAUCAUUUGGGAAUGAUUGGUUUUUUUUCCUUUUUAAAACAGUUCAAACAGGAAACAAAGACACUGACAAAGACAGGGAGGCCUCAUUCCAGCUCCCACUGGAAACAUUCAUUGACUGUAGUGGAAAUUGGAUUGGGCCCAGAAUAAAUAAAUACACUCAAGUUAAACUCUGAGUUUGUGGCACAAGCCAGGAAAAUUACAGACUCCCAUAAAUUAGCAACAUGCAAACCUUUAGGUCAUCCAGUCCAGCUCCUUGCCAAUGCAAGAGUUUGUCCUAGGGCAUAUUUUCUAGUGUUUUGUGCAUCUAGAUUAAAUGUCCCAAGUGAUGGAGCUCCCCUAGGGAAACUAUUUCACUGCCUAAUGGAUCUUGCUGUCAACAUUUUUUCCCUUUCUUAAUAUCAUCCCAUUACUCCUAGUUAGGUUCCCUGGAACCUCCUUAAAUAAUUCCUUCCCUUCCUUGGAGUUAUUUCCUUCAAGUAUCUUUAGAUUAUUAUAACGUUCUUCUUAGUUGUCAGUUAACCAAGCUGUGUAUACAGAUUUAGCUCAUUUAAUCUUUCCUGAUAAAUCAAUGCCUUCUGUCCCUUGAUAAUUUUUCUUGCUCUUCUCUCAACACCCUCUAGUUUGUCAGUGUCUUUUUGGUGACGAGGUGUCAUGAGGUGCUGUUGCUGUUCUGAAUUAAGGAUUGAUUUUGUAUGUUGCAGAGCACCCUUAACUGUCUUUGCUUUAUACACGCUGACGUUUUGGUGGUGACUGCCCUAAAAUUCCUAUGCAGUCAUACAGACUGACAGAGAACCUGGAAGAUCAUUCCCUUACCUUCACUUUUUCUUAUUCUGUUGGUUAUAAUCACCUAGUAUUUGAAACAGUCAGAUCAUCUGUGUUUAAAAAUAAAUGCAUGUCAUUAUGAAUUUCUUUAUUCCAAAAAGGUGUGAGAUAAAAAUGACAUGGACAUUUUCAUUUUUGAACAUGUCCAGCUUUUGGUGGUUUUAUGUUAAAAUCUAUAACUACUGAACAUAUUACCUUGUCCAUUAAAUAGGUCUAAGUACUAGCAUAGUCUACUGUAGAAAAUAAUUAUAUUGCUAGUCACAAGCCUAACAGUUCACGUCAGGCAAUAAAUCCUGAUCAACAAACAACACUCCUUUGGUGCUAAAAAGAUCUUGAUUGUAAUUAAAUGUCUUUACCAGAGUAUUCUAUUGGAUUGGAGGACUAUCAUUUUCAUCCAUGCUCUUUACAUUUUCAUUAAGGAAAGCUUUGGCUACCUGCAGCCUCAUCUGGUUAUGUUUAAUGAUAUCUGCUAACUCCUUCUUCUUUGUACCAGCAGGGGCUUCUUUAAAUUGGUCAGCUGUGUGGAACAUUGCUUUCAAGCGUUAAUAUAUUUUGGAUCAGCCUUUUAAAAUAAUAACUCCUAAUAAGUUCAUUUAUACCUACAGCUUAUUUACCACCUUUAAGCAAUUCAAAAUGCUGUCAGCAUAGAAAAAAUUACUAGUAAAAGUGAUGAUGGUACAACUUGUUUAACUUUUGCCUAAUACAAUUCAGAGAUAGUAUUGACGAGAUAUUACUGUUGGUUCAUUAUGCUGAAGCAUUUCUCUAAGAGGCUGGGAUAAAUGUUCUUUGCUGAUUUGAUUAUGUUGCUUAUUGCAUUGUAUAUAUUUUUUAUAAAGGCUUGUUUCAUAUGGGCACUCAUGUCUCAAACCAUUAAAAUAUUUAUG